CUGAUAACGUCCCUUUGCUUUCACAGGAAUUGGCUGUCUUUUUAAAGCCUGACCUCCUGCAAUUGUGUGGGUUUUCAUUUUUUCCCGGUGCUUUUAGAGAGGAGUGCCUAGCUCGCCUGGUGGCAGGUCGAGGCUCUGACCUUAAGCCUUCAAAAUAAAAAGCACCAAAUUUCUCCAGUUUCCAAAGUGUCCUUGAGGGACUGAGUGUUUGCUGCACCAGCUGGGGACCGGGGGAACAGCCAAGCUCCAGCAGAGACGGAGGAGAAUUUGUGCCUUUAAGCUGCUUGGGGCUGCAUUUAAUGGCACUGCCACCUUGCCAGAGCUGGUGUCCUUGCUACGCGGGCACGUUGCAAAUCACACUCGUCCUGCCUGAUCUUGGCAGCAAGGAGGGCCCAGCGCAGAGGAGAGGGCUUCAGGCUGAAAUGGUUUCAAAGAGCUCACUGUCGGGUGGCUCGGAGGCUCUGAUAGCGCACCUGGAUCAGAAAAGCAUCUUAAAUAAAGACAUACGAGAGGAGUUGUUGGGGAGAAGCAGCAAGGAAAGGAGAGAGAAAGGAAGCUGAUGCUUUCCUGCAGGCAGCCUUCCUCCAGGCAGCGAAGCUCUAGCUAAUUAAUUAUGUGGGGAUGCAGAGAGCCGUGAACGGAGGCUUGCACUCUUUUAAAGCUGAAGACCCAGAUGUGGACCGCUGCCCCGUGGGACUGUCCCCAGCAGAUUUGGGGGGCAGGAGGUUGUCACCGAGCCAGGACAGGCAGCGAGGACCAGCACUGGGGAGGCUCAGCAUCUCCCCCGCUGCUUCCCCACUGUAUGGGGUGAGCACGAGAAGAGCCCCGAGCAAAGGCAACCUGCAAAGGACAGGUCAGCGCGCUGGAGCAGAAGGGAAUGGUGCUUCCAGCAGUGCAAUGGCACCACCCCAGCAAUGUCACCUCUCCGGUCCUUGCUGGGCUCACACCAAUUAUUCCCCUCUGCUCAGCUAUUGCUGACCAGCUCGGCUGCCCCCGCUGUCCCCUUGCUGGUGGCAGGACCAUGGAUCCUGAGCAGUUUGGUCCCUGGGGGAGCGACCAAGUUUCAGCACAGCUGCUGCAGCCCCCACAACUCCCAUCUGCUGCUUCUCACGUGCCAGCAGCAUGUAGGUACGGGGACAAUCCCUCUUCCACAGAUGUGGUUACAGCUAAACACAGAAAACAGCCCGACCUCCUGCAGCAGCCCCAGAAACCUGCUGGCCCCUUCUCCAGCAGCCCCUCUGCUUGGCCAUGGAGGAGCGCGUGGUCUCACGUGGUGCUGCCCCAGUCCUGCUCCCUUCCCAUCCCUGGGGGAUGCCGUGAAGCCCUGUUGCUCCAGGUGCUGUGGUUAUGCCCGGUGCUGCUGUUUGGUGCCAGCUGGAGGUGCUGGCCCGCACGGCAAGAGCUCCUGAACGCAGCCGAGCGAUCGGUGCUGUGUAUGGAGCGAGGCAGGAGGAACAGGGCGCUGUAGCCUUUCAGCCUGAGGUUACAAGGAAACAGGGAUCAAAUCCUGUUUGUUUUCUUGAGUUGAUUUUAUCCAUGGCCAUCACCAGCCCUGACUGCAGUGGAUACGAAGAGGAUGUAGGAUGGUGCCUCCUCCAGGAGCUCCGCUCCACAUCCAGCAUCCCAAAGCAGCGCUGCCUCGAGGUCUGGUGCUCUGGGGAUGUGCUGUGCUGCUCUUUGCUCUGCCUCCUCCUGCCCAGAGCAGCUCCUGGCCACCUCUUCCCUUCUCAGCACUUCCUUGUGGGCCAAGAAGAUGGCACGAUAACAUCCUAGUUCUAUCGUUGUGGCUGCAUGAUGGGGAGAAGUCAGCGUGGACCUGGACACUCCAUGCUCUAAUAGCCAAAAUCUUCAGGCGGGGACAAGGUAACUGAGCAGCACCAGGGCAGCUGCACUGCGCACUGGAUAAACUGGAGUAACUUCCCAAAGGACUGCAAAGGAACACGCUGUUUAGGCCAGCAAAAGAACCGUCACCGUUUGGAGAGAAGGCUUACAGCUGUUUGUCAAACACACAUGGAAGAGAAAACCAAAACCUAAUAUAAAUCACUUAAAUUCCCAGCUGUGCAAAGACCAGCAGUUGCAUAACAUCUGCUCUCAUUCCUCUGGGGUAUUUUGUACCGGAGGCAUUUUGCUUGGCCCACACAUCUGAUUUUUCUUGGCCUGUGCAUCUGUUUUUGAGCAUGGUCCGCAGUAGCUUUGGAAGCCCUGAUGGUGCAUCUGGUGUGAGCACACAGGGAUCUUUUAGAGCCGUGUGAGGUGGGAAUAUAUCCCCGUGCUGCUUGGGGAAGGCCUUUUAGCAGAGGAGACCGGCCGUGUGAGGGUGAGCUGUGCUCAGCCUGAGCCCUGGUGCUGCUUUUAGCAGAGGCAGGAUGGGCCCCUCGUGCUGUCCCGGCUCUCCGUGGCUCCUGCCUGUCGCGCUGACUCCGUGCCCUGGCACUGGCCAGCACGGGCUGGUACGGAAGAGAAGAAUGGAAAAUGCAUGGGUGGUGGGGGACAGCCUCCAGGGCAGGGCGUCUGUGCUCAGUUCUUGGGCUCUGAGUCCUCAGGAUCAGGGCUGCCACGGGCAGGAUGGCCCUCAGGGCUCGGGCUGUAAAUCCUUCGUGUGCAGCUGCUCAGCUGGUGGGUUGAGGAGGGGAGAUACAGAAAACUGAUUUUUAUUAUUCCCCCCUGCUCCCCUUUGCCUCUCCUUGCUUCUUACCCAGCAGUUCCUCUAACUCUGCUCCCUCCCACAGCUGGAAGUAUGUGCCUGGGGUUCAGCAGGCGUAGAAAGGAGUUUUUGUGCGAGAUGAGGAGGCAGAUCCUGGGAGUUACUGUGUGGGACUCCCUUACGCCUCGUUUCCUUGCCUUCUUCACAUAAGGACAAUUCUUAUUCUAGGACACGUGUAUAUAUUUCCUAGAAUAAUAUAUAUAUGUAUGUAUUUUUUCCCUAGAACUGGAGGUGCUCAUCCCUUCCUCAUCUAAAAGACUAAAAUAAGCGUCAUCCUAUUCCCUGGUGAUUUCCUGGUUCCUCUGAACAUUUCCAAGCAGCUCAGCAAUUAGUCACUGAAAACUUUCCACUUCCACAAGCUACCUGGGGCAGUGCAGUGCUAAAUAAGUGUGCGGCUCAGCUACUGCAGGCAAAAUUGACUGCUGGAGGGCAGGCAGGCUGCUCCCCAGAGCUGGGCUGCUGGGAUAACAGCAGCACGAGGGAUGGAUUUUGGGGUGCCACGUGCUCCCCAAUGCAAGGAGCUGUUUUGGGCAUGCAGGGUGUGAAUUGCAGCUGCGUGGACUGCCCCGUGUAGGCUGGGCGAUGCAGAAAAGAGGCAGGGAUGGCUGCUAGCACCGAUCCCGCUGCUCACUGGCCUGCUGCUGACCCUGGGGCUUCACGCGGAUGAGUUAGGAGAGGUGCAAGCUCAGCACCUUCUGUCAUUUUCCUUCUUAGCGUGCAAGCACUCAGGUGUUUGUCAGGAGGAGGAAUUAAAAUAAGAUACUUAAGUCUGGAGACCUUUAGAGGUUACAGUCAUAAGGUCCUUUGCAUGCAGUGCAGGGGGUUUGGCCCAAAAGGUUCUGUGGCUGCUCGGGGAGAGGCCUGCUGGUCCCAGUGGUGAUGGGGUGAUGCUGGUUCUCGUCCUGCCUCUGGCCCUGCUGGCUAACCCACUGAGCUGUGUUCAGGCUCCUGGGGCUGAAAGGGGGGUGUUGGGAGCCCUCCUCUUGGGCUCUUUGGCAUAGACCUGGAUGCUGGCAGAGGGAUAGGAGCCUGGAAGAGCAGGGAAAGCAGCGGGGUGACUGCGGGAAGGACUCGUCCUAGGAGAUUGCUGGGGGGGGAAAUCAAGGCUGGAGGAGGUCAGCAGCCAGCUGCUGGGGCUGGCUCUGCCCCGUGUGGAUCCAGAUGUGACUGAGCUGCCACAUGGCCGUUCUCAACGCAAAUGCUUCUGGUGGACAGAAACGGUGUCCCCGCCUGUCCGCAGCUCAGCCUCUCUAAUUUUAGCUUUUUUUCAUUCUCUCGGGGUCUGGCUGCACGUAUAUCCUGUGCACAGGGUAUGAUGCAAGCGUAGCCACAUCAAUUCCCCAUGGCUGGAGAAAAGCUCACCGCUGCUGUAACCUGUUUUAGUACUUAGAGACACGGAUCCCACAGAUCCCCCAGGCCUUUCCCCAACCUGGGCAAGGUGAGGCUGUGGCUGAACCAAAGUACUGAGGCUAGCAAGCAAUGCAAGCUCAGUUUUUAUAGCUUUCUUUCUUUUUUUCUCAGAGGACACCACUACUCUUUCCUGGACGUUGCUGAUCUUGCUGCCUCCAAGGUGGAUGCGGUCACUGUGGGCACUUCGGGGUGGGGAGAAAGAGGGCCUGGGAUUUGUUGUCCUGGAUAAAAUGAGUUAUUUCAGCAAGCCAAAGCUGUGUGGAGGAUGGGGAGGAAAGUAACAGGUGCUCAGAGUGGAGCUGAAGGCACAUUUUUCUCCGUGGUGCUAAAAUGGUUAAUUAACAUAAUCAUCACAGAGCUCCCAGUUAAGCCAUCCGUUGCUUAGCAAACAGUUUGGGAUGUAAAUGUAGUAAAUAUUUGAUGAUGCCGUGAGAUGACGAUAAAGGCCCAGCAACCAACUGGUUCGCAGCAGCACCUUCUCCUCUCCCCUAGCUCGGGCUGCUGCUCGUUUCUCCCUCCCCUUGCUCCCAAGCACCAGUCUCCAGGCUUACGCUUUUGUCAUCUGUCUUUCUGGCUGCUGCCAGGCACGGGUUUCUGCACAACCCCUGGCUGUUGGCAUGCUGAUCCUCUUAGCAAUGCCGGCCCAGCUCCUAAGCAGGCUGUGCUGGAUGUCUCGCGCUCUGCUUCCACCCCCCAGUUUCCCAAGUGACAGCUUCAGGGCUGUGCCAUCCCCAAAGGCCUCCGCGUGCUGCUAUGGCAUACGUGGACAAAGUCUAGCACUGUCCUUCGUGAUGCUUUGUGCAUCAUGCAAAUUAAUUACGGUUGUAAUUACCCCGUAGGACCUUUCCAGUUGGCUGAUUCCAGUUAAAGCAUUCUCCAUCUCUCCUUCUGAGUUAGCACAAGCCCCUAUUCUUACAGGGGGCAGCCAGCCCCGCAGCUGGGCUUUGUUUUGGGUCUGUUUUUGCCUCCAGUCCUGGGUGUGCUCAAAGGUGGAGUCUAUUCCCAGCAUCAGUCCAUCAUCUGGAGCUGGUUACGCUGUGUUUGGACUGCCAGGACGGAGCAGGGAGCCUGGCCUGCAGCAGAGAGGUGUUCUUAUUGCCGGGAGCCAGUGCUGACUCACGAACCUGACAGCGGGGACAGCGUGGGGCUGAAAACCACAGUCCUGUGUUGUUGGAUACUCCCGAUACUCAUUUGUAGUUCUGCUGUUCCUCAGCCGACAUCCUGCCCCUGGAGCGCUGCCCAGUCCCCUUGUGAGCCAUGGGAAGACGUCACCCAGAAAUGUGAAUUUCUGAGGCCUCAAAGGCUGCACUGUUUACCCGGCUGACAGCUCCAGCUCCAUCCCCUGCCCCACUUUAAUAUCACCGUUGUGUUCCACAGAACAAGGCCCAGCAGCCAGCUACUAAUGCUUCCUGUCCACUGAGAAACUGGGGCUAAAAAAACAACAAAAAAACAGCUGCAACAUCCCCGGGGGCUGGUUAGCGUUCCCUGCCAGGCCUCUGUCCUGCAGCUGAAGUUGUGUAAACUUUAAAUCCUGACAUAAUGGACGGGGAGCGACGGUGGGCAGAGGCACUGCAGCUGGACUGCAUGCCUGGACUGACAGUCAGCUGGCUCAAGCAAACGUGGAGCUGUAAGGUCCCUAUAGCGUGACACAUCAGAGGGGUGGCUGUAUUUGGGUCCAAAAAUUUUUCCCUACACGUUGACAAAUCAGUUCCGUUUAUUCCUGGGCUGCUGCUCUGGAACAGGACUUCAUUCGGUUAUUUGCUUGCCGCGUGUUGACUCAAAAUAUUAAGAUAAGCAUUAAAAAAAAAAAAAAGCCCCAAAUAUACACAGCUACUAACUGGCCAGCCUUACAAUAGACAUGACAUAGAACUAGUGCAAAUGUAGGAACAGUUACUUCAAAACAAGCUACAAGAGUGAAUGCUUACAUUUCUCUAACAAACCCAUUUUUGCUGUUUGAACCUUGGCAUUCAUUUUUUCUCUCCUCCCCAAUUUUCCCUGCUUUUAUGGCUGAUCGGAGAAAUCUCCAGAAGUAAUAAGGUGACUUAGAAGCUGAAGAUCCCCUCGGGCUCAGGCUUGGACAACGAGAGCUUUUGGGAAAGGCUUUCAGCAUCCUCAGCUUAGCAAUGCAUUAUUUCGGAUUUACCCCUUUCUAACUAGCGCGCCUGCUAACUCUGCCUGCGACUGCUCGGAGAUGAAAGCGACAUCAGAACUCUGUCCAUGUUGUGUUCCGCCCGCAGCAAGUUUUCUGGGGUACCGCUUUGCCAUAACACCCCAAUUUCACCCGCCUGGUGCUGAGGACAGAUCUGAGCUCCCUGCCUCUCCUUCUCUGCUUUCAACUUUCCCUGGCCAGGACAGCAGCCGGGAGCAGCAGAUCUGCGAUUUCCAUGGAGGUGCUGCCGCAGGACGAGGCGCUGGGUUUGCCAAGCAAGCCCUGCUGGCUGCCCCCAGCAUCCUUACCCUGCUCCAGGUCCUGCUGGUCGUACCAGGGCUCCUCUUCCUCGCUCUGAAACUCCUCCAUCCUGUCGGCGCUCAGCAUUUAGCACCCGGGGAGCUCGAGCAGCAUCCGCGGACGGGGAGACCCCGCCGCAGCCCCCCAAAACCGCGGAGAAGGGUCGGAGGCAGGGAUGGAGGCAGGGAUAGAGGAUGAAGGAUGGAGGCAAGGAUGCGGCCUCGGUGCCCGGCCCGGGAAAGGGUGGCACGACGUGGCAGCCGGCUCCUGGCCGCUGUCCCCUCUCUGCCUGCCCCGGGGGGAGGCUUCCUCCAGCCUCCGAGGCCGGGGGAGGCUCCGGGAGGGGGGGAUU